rnacentral:rRNA from 1 species
UACGGGGGGGGUAAGCGUUGUUCGGAAUUACUGGGCGUAAAGGGCUCGUAGGCGGCCAACUAAGUCAGACGUGAAAUCCCUCAGCUUAACUGGGGAACUGCGUCUGAUACUGGAUGGCUUGGAUCCGGGAGAGGGAUGCGGAAUUCCAGGUGUAGCGGUGAAAUGCGUAGAUAUCUGGAGGAGCACCGGUGGCGAAGGCGGCAUCCUGGACCGGUAUUGACGCUGAGGAGCGAAAGCCAGGGGAGCAAACAGG